rnacentral:rRNA from 1 species
UGCCUUAGUAACGGCGAGUGAAGCGGCAAAAGCUCAAAUUUGAAAUCUGGUACCUUCGGUGCCCGAGUUGUAAUUUGGAGAGGGCAACUUUGGGGCCGUUCCUUGUCUAUGUUCCUUGGAACAGGACGUCAUAGAGGGUGAGAAUCCCGUGUGGCGAGGAGUGCGGUUCUUUGUAAAGUGCCUUCGAAGAGUCGAGUUGUUUGGGAAUGCAGCUCUAAGUGGGUGGUAAAUUCCAUCUAAAGCUAAAUAUUGGCGAGAGACCGAUAGCGAACAAGUACAGUGAUGGAAAGAUGAAAAGAACUUUGAAAAGAGAGUGAAAAAGUACGUGAAAUUGUUGAAAGGGAAGGGCAUUUGAUCAGACAUGGUGUUUUGUGCCCUCUGCUCCUUGUGGGUAGGGGAAUCUCGCAUUUCACUGGGCCAGCAUCAGUUUUGGUGGCAGGAUAAAUCCAUAGGAAUGUAGCUUGCCUCGGUAAGUAUUAUAGCCUGUGGGAAUACUGCCAGCUGGGACUGAGGACUGCGACGUAAGUCAAGGAUGCUGGCAUAAUGGUUAUAUGCCGCCCGUCUUG